rnacentral:lncRNA from 1 species
CUUUCAAGUCAGCUUUCAAGUCUUAAGUUGUUUGUGGAUUCUGAUGGCCAACAAGAGGGUUGUUUCUGGUCCCCUAACCCACUCCCUUUCUUUACCUUGCUCUGCAAUCUCAAUCUCCCGGCGUCCAAAUUCUGCCUGCUUGAUGUUCUUCACACAGAAAUUGCUGCUGCCCUUGGAGUUGGUUUGCUGCUUCUCUCGGGGAGAAACCUCAUCAUCAGAGCUAUCUGUGUAGGAUGCAGCUAGAGCCAGGAAAGAAAAAAACAAGGAUAGAAAAACCUCAGUGGUCCCCAACUCUACAGAGUGCAGUCCCCAAGGGACUUGGCACCUAAGCAUUAGUAGUUCCAACAAGUUACCAGGUGUUGCUGAUGCUGCUAGUCAGAGGAUCACACUUUGAGAACCAUGGAUAUAGACAAAAGUGAUAAGAUAGUCUUACAAGGGAUUUUACACUAAGUUGUGCUCAAGGAAUAGAGAAAGAAAGAAAUGGCACAAAAGGCAAACAGCUCUGGUUCUACUGAUAGCCCUGGGAAAGUCUGUCAAAAUGAUCAACUUUAAAAAGUGGUUUCACAUAAAAGCUAAAAAUACCACUUAUCUGACAGAUAUGCAAGAGGAUAUACAACAAUCAUUCCUUACCUCUCAAAUCACUUCUUUCCUCUCUGAAUUGAGUACUUUCCUCAUCACGGUUUCUGCUAGUAUACCUGGACUCUCUCACUGACUGACUUCUAUGUACAGGUCCUCCUCCUGUCCAGCUAACACAAAUACUACUAAAGAUUAUCUUCCCCACUAUGACAUUUUAACCAUAUCACUAAGCUUUUUAAAAGGCUCUAAUACAUUUCUGUAACAUGGCCGUCAAGAUCUUUGAAGACUUUUUAAAAGCCUUCUUCAGUCGUUUUAUCGUUCUUCCUCUCAUAACUCAAUUUUUCACAAUUAAUUUUUCUUCUUUCUUGGCUACAGUUAGCCUGCUUGUCACACACCACUUUUUAUCUGUCACUCCAGGAUCAUAUAUAACAGCUUUUCAUUUAUGUUAAUCCUUAAUGUUGAUAAUACAAUGCAAAAGGUAUUC